CUAUGAGCUAACUAAUGACCAAGUGGCAGAGUGAGCUCAAAGUGAGAACUUGUUCUGCAAAAGGCUGGCUGAGGAGAAGUACUCCAACCUAAAAGGAAAGGUCUUCAUCUUUACUGGAGGUGUCUGAAGCUCCUGUCUCAAUGUGUUUGCCAGAGCAGAAGCUUACAACAUAGAGUCAGACCAGAUGUAUACCUUUAUGAUUUCACGUGAAAUAUUGACUGCAUAAUAUAACCACCAUAUCUGCAAUGAGGUGAGUGUGUGUAAGAUUUUGAGCCAAAACAUCUGAAGUCACUGCGAGAGCCCCUGACUCAGCUCUGCUGUCAGCUUCGGAGCGAUCGAGGCAUCCCAGCCAAAGGGUGACUCAAAGACGCUGCCAGCAGGAGGCCUCCAUGGGAUGCUGUCGUGUGGCAAAUGGCCUCCGGGGAGUUUUUAAGGACUUGUAAUUGCCUGUGGAAGAACGUACUGAGAGGCUUGUUUGACAACAAUUCCUGUUACGGCAGACAGCACAAUGCAUCGCCCUUGAAAUAA
rnacentral:lncRNA from 1 species